AAGUACUGCCCGAGACGUAAUAUCGUUGCUUCUCGCUGAUAGCCUUAUCAAUUGCAUGUGGGUGAAGUCAGAUACCAGCUGUGUUGGCACAUCUCCUCUGUUUAGCUGACCACUUGAGCAAAAUCAUCUGGGAUACCGAAAGUCUGUAGGGAAGUCAUGAUGGGCAGACGACCGACAAGCGGGAACUUAUUUUAUGAAGUAGGUCUGCUCGUUUUUGCAAGUUUACGUUUGGUCGAUGCACAGCUGUUUCUAAGAGCGCUGAACCCAAAGCAGACCAUCAAACUGAACCAAUGCCGGGAAGUAUGUGGUGAUGAGUAUUUUGAUUGCAAAAUUGGAAAAUGUGAUGGUGGAGAGUAUGUGUCGGAGAAGGGCUAUGGACUCUGUGUCGACCUCUGUAAAGACUCGUUCUAUUCCUGCUUGGACGACUGUAAAACAAGAGUAACGCCCGUCUCAACCACCCCGGCAGAGCGUGCAACCCUACCCCCGGGCGUCAAUGAGAUAAUUCGGAAUUUACACACAGCAAAGGAUAUCAGUGAAUUCAAUAUGAAAUUUUUGCAUGGGCCUAAUGCUCAAAAUCAAGCACAGACGGACAAUACGGCGAAUGCAGAACCUAAUGUAAACAUACCAAUGUUUGCUGGGAAAAACUACUUGAACAAACUUAACACGGUGAGACCGUUCUCAUUCACGGGUGUUCGGUCUUAAUCAUUGCAAAAGUUUAUCUUGAUGUUAAAUGCAGCCUAAAAGAUAAACCGCUCAAUUUUC